rnacentral:rRNA from 1 species
GCAGCCGCCACGGUAAUACGUAGGUGGCAAGCGUUGUCCGGAAUUAUUGGGCGUAAGGCGCGCGCAGGCGGAUAGGUCAGUCUGUCUUAAAAGUUCGGGGCUUAACCCCGUGAUGAGAUGGAAACUGCCAAUCUAGAGUAUCGGAGAGGAAAGUGGAAUUCCUAGUGUAGCGGUGAAAUGCGUAGAUAUUAGGAAGAACACCAGUGGCGAAGGCGACUUUCUGGACGAAAACUGACGCUGAGGCGCGAAAGCCAGGGGAGCGAACGGGAUUAGAGACCCGCGUAGUCCCUGUCUCUUAUACC